CUUGGGACGCUGCUCUUCUAGGUUGUCUGGAGGCAACCUAGAGCUGAGUCACCAGUAAUGCAGACAUUUAGCACAGAUGUUUUCACACAGUUUGCAGUUUAUACACGUAACUUCAGCUACCUCUCAGAAUCUGAAAGCCUGUGUUAAUCCUGAGACACUAACCAGGGAUGUUCCUUCUGAAGGCAGGACAGGCUAGCUGUCGAAGAUAGUACUUUGUCUCCCAGAAGUAGAUUCCUCGAGAAGAAUUCAAAACACAUAGGCAGGCAAGAACAUGUUCACACAAGGGAAGAACAGUGCAGGAUUAGGUGCAGCAGUAUGAUUAACUCCGUGUUCCUCUCCAGACUUCCUCUGUUCGAUGACUAUGUACUUCUGAGGAUACAUGUGUCUCUACCUUGCCCAUCUUGAUAAUAAGGGUAAUACAGGUUUCUACAUCAAAAUACAUUGUGGGGAUAUGUAGUAUCCUGAGGCAAGUUAAAAAAGGUGCAGCCAGCACUUUGAAGGAGGUGAUCUUCCCCCUCUACUCUGCUCUGGUGAGACCACAUCUGGAGUACUAUGUCCAGUUCUGGACUCUCCAGUUCAAAAAAGACAGGGAUUUCCUAGAAACAGUCCAGUGGAGAGUAACAAAGAUGAUUAAGAGCCUGGAGCAUCUCCCAUGUGAGGAAAGGGUGAGACACCUUGGACUCUUCAGACUGGAGAAGGGAAGACAAGAAGGGGAUCUCGUUAUCUAAAGGGAGGGAAUCAAGUCGAUAGGAGUGGAUUCUUCAGUGGCAAGCAACAGCAGAACAAGGGGCUGCAGGCACAAACUGGGACACAGGAAGUUCCGUGCAAGCACAAAGAAGAGCUUCUUUACUGUCAGAGUGGCGGAGCACUGGUGUAGGCUGCUCAGAGAGGUGGUGAAGUCUCCUGUGGAGAUAUUCAGGACCUGUCUGGAUGCCUUCCUGUGCAACCUGCAAUGGGGAACACUGCUUUAGCAGGGGGGCUGGACUCGAUGAUCUCCCUGCAGUUCCGUGAUCUUCCUAUUAUAUAUCUUUAGCAGUAGCACAGAGAGCUACGAGGAAUCUGAAGUUGUGAUGUGGAACAACCAGUGUUUUCACUGACAAUCUGAAAAUAAAUGAUAAUUUUUUAACUUGUAUUCCUCAAGAGCUUGUGCCUCUUAAAGAAAAAAAAAAAGUUGUAAGAAAUAAAAUAUGCCGCAGUAAACUAUUCCUAGAGCUAACGAACAGGCAAUGGGACUAGCAGCUUU
ensembl:lncRNA